CCCCUCAGCUUCUGAUGCUCCAAAGAAAACAAUCCAAGUUGGUCCAACUUCCCAGCAAGUCCUAAAUUGCAAUGUUGCAUGCAAGUACUUCUGAUACUCUUUAACCUACAGCCGUGCCCUAUGGCUGGUGGGAGCCGAAGCGGAGUUGGUGACCCUUGCUCGAGGAAGAAGGGGGUUUAGAGAGUGCGACCAUAAGCGUCCUGCUCAGGGUGAAGCAACCGGCCCUGCCGCAGUGGGGGCCACGGUGCCAUCGGCCAGUCGACAGAGCAACAUGCAGCAAAUGUGGCCGUCAACAUUCAGCCCAGCAAAGUCACAAAAACAGCAGAGAUACCAUCUACCUUCCCUCUAGUCGAUGCAAUGUUUUGACCCAAAACAUUAACCAUCCUUCUGCCUCCACAGAUGCUGUUUGACCAGCCAAGUUCUUCCAGCAGCUAACUCUUUAAAUUAAAAACCAUCCAACUCAAGGCCAGCACAUGGGUUCGCAUCUGACCUGUUUAUCAGGAAUAUCGUUUGGUAAAUCUUCUCUGCUGAAGCCUCCAACAUGGAGCUGCAUCAAUUGAGAAGUAAUGAUGGCCUACGAUUGAAUAAGCCUAAAGAGUACCAUCAAUGGGUGCCACACCAAGGCUGGGCCACACUCCACAACGACAUGUUCGGCACUCAGACCCUUGAGCAGAUGAAGAAGAUGGAAGAACAAUGGCAGAUAACAUCUCUGUUCACCAGCAAACAGGCUAAAAAGCAGUUUCUAGAGAGCAGCCCAUAAACAUCAUCCACAAUUCUGUUUCUUACCAAGUUCCCAUCCAAUCCCUAGUCCUUUGCUGUUACCACAUUACAACGCCAGACACAAACAUGAGCAGCAACAUCGUUGAUGUGUGACAAUCAGAUUCAGGAACAGCAGAAGCUCCCAGCAAUGAUCAGGUUCAUGAACAUGACAACACCAACCUCAGCAAUUAUGAUCUUCUAUGGACCAUGUCUUUGGUUGCACUAGUACGAUUAUUAUUUUAUUGUAUUUUUGAUUGUUAUAUAUUAUCUGUGUGCCAUUGUGUUAAAUUGCAGCAAUUAAGAUUUCCAUUGGUCUGGUUUCAGUAUAUGACAAUUAAACACAGUUGACUCUCGA